rnacentral:rRNA from 1 species
AACGAACGCUGGCGGCAGGCCUAACACAUGCAAGUCGAACGCCGUAGCAAUACGGAGUGGCAGACGGGUGAGUAACACGUGGGAACGUACCCUUCGGUUCGGAAUAACUCAGGGAAACUUGAGCUAAUACCGGAUACGUCCGAGAGGAGAAAGAUUUAUCGCCGAGGGAUCGGCCCGCGUCUGAUUAGCUUGUUGGUGAGGUAACGGCUCACCAAGGCGACGAUCAGUAGCUGGCUGAGAGGAUGAUCAGCCACAUUGGGACUGAGACACGGCCCAAACUCCUACGGGAGGCAGCAGUGGGGAAUAUUGGACAAUGGGCGCAAGCCUGAUCCAGCCAUGCCGCGUGAGUGAUGAAGGCCCUAGGGUUGUAAAGACUCUUUUACCCGGGAAGAUAAUGACUGUACCGGGAGAAUAAGCCCCGGCUAACUUCGUGCC